CACUGUCCACCAACAGACACCCAUGAUGAGGGCUGUCAGUUGAUCUGACACUCCCAGUUACUACUGAUUGCUCAUCAUUGUUCUACUUCUACUUCAUAAGGCUUUCCAGCAUCAUGUGUUACCUGCAUCAUCACUGAAUAUUCUCAUGGCCUUCAAAACACAGCUGUGUAUUUAGAGUCUGCUUCUUCAAUGCAUUGCCAUCUCUGCCCCUCUGCCUGCCCUGGGUGCACAGGUGUUAAGCUUGGUACAGACUCUGACUUCGUGUCUAUGAUGUGUUAUCACAAAUAGUUAACCUUGCUCCUUUGGAAGACUGUGGCCAAGACUGCAAGCUUAAAAGAAAACAUUUUGAGAAAAUUAUUAUUAAAAGUCGUCAACAUGCACAAUUUGAGAUGCACCUUGGUAUAAAAGAAUGAUUUCAAAAUGUUGAGGAUAAGUAAAAUUUUGGCAAACCAUUCAAUAUCAGAAUCUAUGCCCCAACCACUAAUGCUGAAGAAGCUGAAGUUGAAGACUUCAAUGAAGUCUGUGGAGACCUACAGGACCUUCUAGAACUAACACCCAAAAAAGAUGUCAUUGUCAUUAUAAGAGACUGGAAUGCAAAAGUAGGAAGAGAUACCUGGAAUAACAGGCAUGUUUGGCCUUGGAGUACAAAAUGAAGCAGGGCAAAAGCUAAUAGAGUUCUGUCAAGAGAAUGCACUGGUCAUGGCAAACAUUGUCUUCCAGCAACACAAGAGAAGACUCUACACAUGGGCAUCACCAGAUGGUCAAUACUGAAAUCAGAUUGAUUAUAUUCUUUGCAGCUAAAGAUGGAGAAACUCUAUACAGUCAGCAAAAACAAGACCAGGAACUGACUGUGGCUCAGAUCAUGAACUCCUCAUUGUAAAAUUCAGACUUAUAUUGAAGAAAGUAGGGAAAACCACUAGACAAUUCAGGUAUGACCUAAAUAAAAUUGCUUAUGAUUAUACAGUGGAAGUGAAAAAUAGAUUCAAGGGAUCAGAUCUGAUAGACAAGAGUGCCUGAAGAACUAUGGAUGGAGGUUCAUGACAUCAUACAGGAGGCAGGGAUCAAGACCAUCCCCAAGAAAAAGAAAUGCAAAAAGGCAAAAUGGCUGUCUGAGGAGGCCUUACAAAUAGCUGAGAAAAGAAGAGAAGUGAAAGGCAAAGGAGAAAAGAAAAGAUAUACCCACUGAAAUCAGAGUUCCAAAGAAUAGCAAGGAGAGAUAAGAAAGCCUUCCUUAAUGAUCAAUGCAAAGAAAUAGAGGAAAACAACAGAAUGGGAAAGACUAGAGAUCUCUUCAAGAAAAUUAGAGAUACCAAGGGACCAUUUCAUGCAAAGAUGGGCUCAAUAAAGGACAGAAAUAGUAUGGACCUUACAGAAUCAGAAUAUAUUAAGAAGAGGUGGUGAGAAUACACAGAAGAACUAUACAAAAAAGAUCUUCAUGACCCAGAUAAUCACGAUGGAGUGAUCACUCGCCUAGAGCCAGACAUCCUGGAAUGAGAAGUCAACUGGGCCUUAGGAAGCAUCACUAUGAACAAAGCUAGAGGAGGGGAUGGAAUUCCAGUUGAGCUAUUUCAAAUCCUAAAAGAUGAUGCUGUGAAAGUGCUGCACUCAAUAUGGCAGAAAAUCUGGAAAAUUCAGCAGUGGCCACAGGACUGGAAAAGGUCAGUUUUCAUUUCAAUCCCAAAGAAAGGCAAUGCCAAAGAAUGUUCAAAGUACCACACAAUUGCACUCAUCUCACAUGCUAGCAAAGUAAUGCUCAAAAUUCUCCAAGCCAGGCUUCAACUGUAUGUGAACCGUGAACUUACAGAUAUUCAAACUGGAUUUAGAAAAGUCGGAGGAACCAGAGAUCAAAUUGCGAACAUCUGUUGGGUCAUUGAAAAAGCAAGAGAGUUCCAGAAAAACAUCUACUUCUGCUUUAUUGACUAUGCCAAAGCCUUUGACUGUGUGGAUCACAGCAGACUGUGGAAAAUUCUUAAAGAGAUGGGAAUACCAGACCACCAGACCACAACUGAGUGACUGAACUGAACUGAUCCCAAUAGCAAAAGAGGAAUGCAUCACCCCUGAGCCUUAGAGGCCCAAAGCAUCUCUUGAAGCACAGUAUUCUCUCUCUUAUUCAUCUUAGAAUAUCCUGGCUUAUUUGUCUUCUGCUCCCUUAUUAUAUAUUUGUUUUAAUAUAGAAAUAAUGCUGUUUUCCAUUUAAACUACUGAAAUAACAUUAGAAAAAAUAUUCUCCCAGGAAGCCUUGUCAUGUUUAUUGCAUUAUUUCUAUAUCCUAUUUGUAUAGCAGCCAAGCACUCCCAGGACAUAUGCAAACACCC
ensembl:lncRNA